AAGACCUUGCGCUUUUGGAGCGGCCGACGUCUGAUUAGCUAGUUGGUGGGGUAAUGGCCUACCAAAGCUUCGAUCAGUAGCUGGUCUGAGAGGACGGCCAGCCACACUGGGACUGAGACACGGCCCAGACUCCUACGGGAGGCAGCAGUGGGGAAUUUUGGACAAUGGGCGCAAGCCUGAUCCAGCCAUGCCGCGUGAGUGAAGAAGGCCUUCGGGUUGUAAAGCUCUUUCAGCCGGGAAGAAAAGGCUGCGACUAAUAAUCGCAGUUCAUGACGGUACCGGAAGAAGAAGCACCGGCUAACUACGUGCCAGCAGCCGCGGUAAUACGUAGGGUGCGAGCGUUAAUCGGAGUUACUGGGCGUAAAGGGUGCGCAGGCGGUUUUGUAAGUCAGAUGUGAAAUCCCCGGGCUUAACCUGGGAACU
rnacentral:rRNA from 1 species